UACAGAGGGUGCAAACGUUGUUCGGAAUUACUGGGCGUAAAGCGUGUGUAGGUGGCCGCGCAAGUCGGAUGUGAAAGCCCUGGGCUCAACUCAGGAAGUGCACCCGAUACUGCGUGGCUCGAGUACCGGAGAGGUUGGUGGAAUUCUCGGUGUAGAGGUGAAAUUCGUAGAUAUCGAGAGGAACACCUGUGGCGAAGGCGGCCAACUGGACGAGUACUGACACUGAGACACGAAAGCGUGGGGAGCAAACAGG
rnacentral:rRNA from 1 species